ACAGAGACAUCAGGUCAACAUCUGGAGACAGACAACAUCAGGUCAACAUCUGGAGACAGACAACAUCAGGUCAACAUCUGGAGACAGACAACAUCAGGUCAUCAUCUGGAGACACACAACAUCAGGUCAACAUCUGGAGACACACAACAUCAGGUCAACAUCUGGAGACAGACAACAUCAGGUCAACAUCUGGAGACAGACAACAUCAGGUCAACAUCUGGAGACAGACAACAUCAGGUCAACAUCUGGAGACAGACAACAUCAGGUCAACAUCUGGAGACAGACAACAUCAGGUCAACAUCUGGAGACAGACAACAUCAGGUCAACAUCUGGAGACACACAACAUCAGGUCAACAUCUGGAGACACACAAUAUCAGGUCAACAUCUGGAGACAGACAACAUCAGGUCAACAUCUGGAGACACACAACAUCAGGUCAACAUCUGGAGACAGACAACAUCAGGUCAACAUCUGGAGACACACAACAUCAGGUCAACAUCUGGAGACAGACAACAUCAGGUCAACAUCUGGAGACAGAUAACAUCAGGUCAACAUCUGGAGACAGAACAGAGACAUCAGGUCAACAUCUGGAGACACACAACAUCAGGUCAACAUCUGGAGACACACAACAUCAGGUCAACAUCUGGAGACAGACAACAUCAGGUCAACAUCUGGAGACAGACAACAUCAGGUCAACAUCUGGAGACACACAACAUCAGGUCAACAUCUGGAGACAG